UUGGUUAAAGAUAAGAUUAAUGAUAGAUCAAGUUACAAGCUCCCACACUAAUGUAGAGAAACAACCCCAGGUGGAAUUUGGGUCAGUUAUGAUUUAUAUAUGCAGGCAAACAUGAGGUUAGAAGCAAAGAAAUAGUUCCUGCCUUUUCUCUUCAUUAAUUGAAAAAAGAAGUGUGUAUAAAAAGGAUGUUUUUACAAUAGCUUUUCAACAAGUAUUUGACACCUUCUUUAGCUGACCAAAAAAGUGUAUGUGUGGAAUCAAUUUAUCUAUGUAGUAGUACCAAAAUUUGAAAUCUGGCAUUCGAUGAGUCAGUCAGGGAGAAAAUGGAAACACAUUGUGAAAGGAACCUUCUCUGAAAAAAGUGCAACUUUGUGACAUGAUCUGCCUGCCUGACUGUAUAUACCUGAGCAGCAUACAGCUUAUUACUGCAUAAAAAGAAACAUAUCAAGAUAAUUCUGAAUCAGAUUGUGUGCUGGAAAAAUGGCCUUACAUCCAAAGGAGUGAAAUUUGGAGAGUCAUUUGCCAUCUACUUAAGCCAUCCUGGAAUAUGAAAAAAUAAGACAUAUAAAGACAAUAAGACAAUAAAACAUCCUGAUCCUCGUGUUCAGAUCUUUUGUGAUUUCUUGUAAAGGGUCUUUGAUUUUUGCAUAAAAAUAAAAAAUAUAUUAAUAAAAUUUGAUUUUUGCUUACUACUGAUUUUUUUCAGAUUCAGCAGGUGAAGCCGAUUUCCACUAGUUGCCACGUAUUUUCCACCUAUUGCCAGC